rnacentral:rRNA from 1 species
UACGUAGGGUGCGAGCGUUGUCCGGAAUUAUUGGGCGUAAAGAGCUUGUAGGCGGUCUGUCGCGUCUGCUGUGAAAAUCCGGGGCUCAACCCCGGACUUGCAGUGGGUACGGGCAGACUAGAGUGUGGUAGGGGAGACUGGAAUUCCUGGUGUAGCGGUGAAACGCGCAGAUAUCAGGAGGAACACCGGUGGCGAAGGCGGGUCUCUGGGCAGUAACUGACGCUGAGGAGCGAAAGCGUGGGGAGCGAACAGG